CCUACGGGUGGCACCAGUGGGGAAUCUUGGACAAUGGGCGAAAGCCUGAUCCAGCGACGCCGCGUGGAGGAAGAAGUCCUUCGGGAUGUAAACUUCUGAACUAGCCGAAUAAAAGGCCUGUGGACACACAGGAGAAGAAAGUAGGCUAGGAAAAGUCCCGGCUAACUACGUGCCAGCAGCCGCGGUAAGACGUAGGGGGCAAGCGUUACCCGGAAUUACUGGGCGUAAAGGGGGCGUAGGCGGUAAAAGAAGUCAUCUGUGAAAACCUAUUGCUCAACGAUAGGCUAGCGGAUGAAACUGAAUUACUUGAGGGCACCAGAGGUAGACGGAAUUACCCGAGUAGGGGUGAAAUCCGCAGAUACGGGUAGGAACGCCGGUGGAGAAGUCGGUCUACUGGGGUGCACCAGACGCUGAGGCCCGAAAGCUAGGGGAGCAAACCGGAUUAGAUACCCUUGUAGUC
rnacentral:rRNA from 1 species